UCGUAACAAGGUCUCCGUUGGUGAACCAGCGGAGGGAUCAUUACAGAGUUGCAAAACUCCCCAAACCAUCGUGAACGCUACCCAAACCGUUGCUUCGGCGGGCGGCGCCCUCGCGCGCCCCCCUGGGCCCGCACCGCGGGCGCCCGCCGGAGGUACACCAAACUCUUGAUAUGUUAUGGCCACUCUGAGUCUUCUAUACUGAAUCAGUCAAAACUUUCAACAACGGAUCUCUUGGUUCUGGCAUCGAUGAAGAACGCAGCGAAAUGCGAUAAGUAAUGUGAAUUGCAGAAUUCAGUGAAUCAUCGAAUCUUUGAACGCACAUUGCGCCCGCCAGUAUCCUGGCGGGCAUGCCUGUUCGAGCGUCAUUUCAACCCAUCAAGCCCACGGCUUGUGUUGGGGACCUGCGGCUGCCCGCAGGCCCUGAAAACCAGUGGCGGGCUCGCUAGUCACACCGAGCGUAGUAGCAUACGACCUCGCUCAGGGCGUGCUGCGGGUUCCAGCCGUAAAACGACCUUCGCAACCCCAAGGUUGACCUCGGAUCAGGUAGGAGGACCCGCUGAACUUAAGCAUAUCAAUAA
rnacentral:misc_RNA from 1 species